rnacentral:tRNA from 1 species
ACCGUCAUAGUUUAAAGGAUAAAACAACUCUCUCCUAAAGAGUAGAUUUCGAGUUCGAACCUCGAUGAUGGUAC